rnacentral:rRNA from 1 species
CCUACGGGAGGCAACAGUGAGGAAUAUUGGUCAAUGGCCGGGAGGCUGAACCAGCCAAGUCGCGUGAGGGAAGACGGCCCUACGGGUUGUAAACCUCUUUUGUCAGGGAGCAAGGUGCAGGUCGGGACCUGCUGUGAGAGUACCUGAAGAAAAAGCAUCGGCUAACUCCGUGCCAGCAGCCGCGGUAAUACGGAGGAUGCGAGCGUUAUCCGGAUUUAUUGGGUUUAAAGGGUGCGCAGGCGGAGGCACAAGUCAGCGGUAAAAUCGCGGGGCUCAACCCCGCUCCGCCGUUGAAACUGUGUGCCUUGAGUGCGCGAAGGGUAGGCGGAAGGCGUGGUGUAGCGGUGAAAUGCAUAGAUAUCACGCAGAACUCCGAUCGCGAAGGCAGCCUACCGGCGCGCAACUGACGCUCAUGCACGAAAGCGUGGGUAUCGAACAGGAUUAGAUACCCCUGUAGUC